UGGGGAAUUUUGGACAAUGGGCGAAAGCCUGAUCCAGCAAUGCCGCGUGUGUGAAGAAGGCCUUCGGGUUGUAAAGCACUUUUGUCCGGAAAGAAAUCCUUGGCUCUAAUACAGUCGGGGGAUGACGGUACCGGAAGAAUAAGCACCGGCUAACUACGUGCCAGCAGCCGCGGUAAUACGUAGGGUGCAAGCGUUAAUCGGAAUUACUGGGCGUAAAGCGUGCGCAGGCGGUUUGCUAAGACCGAUGUGAAAUCCCCGGGCUCAACCUAGGAACUGCAUUGGUGACUGGCAGGCUAGAGUAUGGCAGAGGGGGGUAGAAUUCCACGUGUAGCAGUGAAAUGCGUAGAGAUGUGGAAGAAUACCGAUGGCGAAGGCAGCCCCCUGGGCCAAUACUGACGCUCAUGCACGAAAGCGUGGGGAGCAAACAGGAUUAGAUACCCUGGUAGUCCACGCCCUAAACGAUGUCAACUAGUUGUUGGGGAUUCAUUUCCUUAGUAACGUAGCUAACGCGUGAAGUUGACCGCCUGGGGAGUACGGUCGCAAGAUUAAAACUCAAAGGAAUUGACGGGGUCAUAGCUGUUUCCU
rnacentral:rRNA from 1 species